AAAAAAUCCUAGAACCCUCCAGGGGGCAGCAGAGAAAGCCAUUUGAAGCCUGAAAACAGACUGAGUGAAAGAGCCUGUCUAAGGAACAUGUCUACAUUGGAAUCACACUCUUAGGCUUUUGCUCUCAGAGCAGUAGGAUAUCACAUCUUUCUACUGAGAGGCAGAGAGUCCACCACCCAUCCUGCAGUUGAGCCUGAUAUUUUACAAAACCCCUAAGUAAAGAGAAAUGCUGUUUGCAUUCUUUCUCAUUGUUCC
rnacentral:lncRNA from 1 species